rnacentral:lncRNA from 1 species
GGGUAAAACAUUUUAAAGCAUUCUUUAUAUAAUUGCAGGGUGUUAAAAAUUCACUGUGUACCAUAGUCAGGGAAGUAUAUGGUUAAGAGUAAAGAUCCUUUCUUCUCAAUCCUGUCACUUGGAGUUUUUGUAUAUUUUUGAAAGAAAGUUAGCAUACCUUUUUAUCCUCAUAGGUUCUCUCAAAUCACUCAUUAUCUUUUAUAUAUAUCUCACUGAGGCUGUU